rnacentral:rRNA from 1 species
UUGAUUCAGGCUCAGAUUGAACGCUGGCGGCAGGCCUAACACAUGCAAGUCGAGCGGAAACGAGUUAUCUGAACCUUCGGGGAACGAUAACGGCGUCGAGCGGCGGACGGGUGAGUAAUGCCUAGGAAAUUGCCCUGAUGUGGGGGAUAACCAUUGGAAACGAUGGCUAAUACCGCAUAAUGCCUACGGGCCAAAGAGGGGGACCUUCGGGCCUCUCGCGUCAGGAUAUGCCUAGGUGGGAUUAGCUAGUUGGUGAGGUAAUGGCUCACCAAGGCGACGAUCCCUAGCUGGUCUGAGAGGAUGAUCAGCCACACUGGAACUGAGACACGGUCCAGACUCCUACGGGAGGCAGCAGUGGGGAAUAUUGCACAAUGGGCGCAAGCCUGAUGCAGCCAUGCCGCGUGUGUGAAGAAGGCCUUCGGGUUGUAAAGCACUUUCAGUCGUGAGGAAGGUAGUGUAGUUAAUAGCUGCAUUAUUUGACGUUAGCGACAGAAGAAGCACCGGCUAACUCCGUGCCAGCAGCCGCGGUAAUACGGAGGGUGCGAGCGUUAAUCGGAAUUACUGGGCGUAAAGCGCAUGCAGGUGGUUUGUUAAGUCAGAUGUGAAAGCCCGGGGCUCAACCUCGGAAUAGCAUUUGAAACUGGCAGACUAGAGUACUGUAGAGGGGGGUAGAAUUUCAGGUGUAGCGGUGAAAUGCGUAGAGAUCUGAAGGAAUACCGGUGGCGAAGGCGGCCCCCUGGACAGAUACUGACACUCAGAUGCGAAAGCGUGGGGAGCAAACAGGAUUAGAUACCCUGGUAGUCCACGCCGUAAACGAUGUCUACUUGGAGGUUGUGGCCUUGAGCCGUGGCUUUCGGAGCUAACGCGUUAAGUAGACCGCCUGGGGAGUACGGUCGCAAGAUUAAAACUCAAAUGAAUUGACGGGGGCCCGCACAAGCGGUGGAGCAUGUGGUUUAAUUCGAUGCAACGCGAAGAACCUUACCUACUCUUGACAUCCAGAGAACUUUUCAGAGAUGAAUUGGUGCCUUCGGGAACUCUGAGACAGGUGCUGCAUGGCUGUCGUCAGCUCGUGUUGUGAAAUGUUGGGUUAAGUCCCGCAACGAGCGCAACCCUUAUCCUUGUUUGCCAGCGAGUAAUGUCGGGAACUCCAGGGAGACUGCCGGUGAUAAACCGGAGGAAGGUGGGGACGACGUCAAGUCAUCAUGGCCCUUACGAGUAGGGCUACACACGUGCUACAAUGGCGCAUACAGAGGGCAGCAAGCUAGCGAUAGUGAGCGAAUCCCAAAAAGUGCGUCGUAGUCCGGAUUGGAGUCUGCAACUCGACUCCAUGAAGUCGGAAUCGCUAGUAAUCGUGGAUCAGAAUGCCACGGUGAAUACGUUCCCGGGCCUUGUACACACCGCCCGUCACACCAUGGGAGUGGGCUGCAAAAGAAGUAGGUAGUUUAACCUUCGGGAGGACGCUUACCACUUUGUGGUUCAUGACUGGGGUGAAGUCGUAAAAAGGGUAAC